AUGCCCAAGAAAGGAGGGAAGCAUGCUGAAAUGGGAAAAGAAACACAGGCACAGUGUAAACGAGCAAAGCUGGAAGCAGCUUGUUCUCCCUCAGUCCUGAGUUUUGAGAACCCAGACAGCCUCUUCGGGAGCUUGAUCUCCCCCAUCAAAGAAGAGGUGUUUUUCAAGGAGUACUGGGAGCAAAAGCCACUGCUCGUCCAGAGCAAUGAUCCCCUGGUGGCUGCUUACUGCCUGUCCCUGUUCCAGCUGUCAGACUUGAAGGAGCUGUGCAGCCAGGGCCUGUACUAUGGGCGAGAUGUGAAUAUCUGCAGUGUGUGAAUGGAAAGAAGAAGGUUUUAAAUAAAGAAGGCAAAGUGAAUUACAUGCAGCUGAAGAAGGAUUUUGACCAGAAAAAGGCAAGAAUACAGUUUCAUCAGCCUCAGAGAUUUAAGGAGGAGCUGUGGAAGAUUUUCAGGAGAAGCUGGAGUGCUACUUUGGGUCUCUGGUGGGGUCCAAUGUUUCCAUCACUCCCCAGGGAUCCCAGGGCCUUCCUCCUCACUAUGAUGAUGUUGAGCCAGGUGACUUACUGUACUUCCCAAGAGGGACCAUCCACCAAGCUGACACUCCUCUUGGGACCUCCCAUUCAACACACGUGACCAUCAGUACCUACCAAAACAAGUCAUUAUUCUUUAUCUUUUGUUUUGUGUGGCUUUCCUCUGCCAAGUGAUGUGUGUGAGUAGUACAGACCUGAGAUGUGGUGAAGUUUUGGGGCUUGGGGGAAGGAGGGGAGCAAGAAGACUGUUGUUGUUUGAAGCAGCCUG